GCACUGCUAAAGAGUCCCACAACAGGACGAAACGACCGUCCAGUGA
rnacentral:hammerhead_ribozyme from 1 species